CAUUUCUGCCCUGACCACAAACAAGAAUACAGGGUUAGGUCGAUCAGACUCUAAUUAAAUCGUGACUAUACUAAUUUAGUCUAAUUUAAAAGAUCUUCAUUGAGUUGCACAAAAUGUAAUUUUUUAAUAAAAUAAUUAUUAAUAUUGCAACCCAAACUUCAGAUAGGUAUAUGAGCCGAAUAAUAGGAUAAGUUUGAAAUCUUUGUCCAUGAAGAUUUGAAACUGUAAAACCCUUUCAGACUGAUAUUGGCUGUAGCAUCGUCUUUUCUACCUGGUAAACAUUUUCUUUCCGAAAACUCGAAGUUCAAGUUAGAUAUUUUCCUUUGCGAGUUUUGAAGGACAGAUUCGAACACUUCACCUACAGGUCAGAGAUUACAACGAGAUGCAAGGCGCUUUGGACAAAUCAAGGAGCUUUGCACAUUUAAGUUAGAGAGAAUAAAAGGGAGGGAAAAUACGCAAUGUCGAAUAUGCAAAGUCUUGGGAGGGAGCUCAAAUGCUUGGGAAAGGAAAUGGAAGAGAGGGCCAAACUAUUUGUUAAAACGAUUUUCAAAUUUGCUGGCGUUAGAAUUAUUCAUUUGCGUUUAAACUGGAAUUGGAAUCUUUUGGAGCAACACAAGGAGCGAUGGAGGGAUUUGGAAAUCAUUACUUGGCCAUAACAAUAGUUUCUUUGGUUUGCCUCAUCAUAGGAAAAGGUGUUCUAAGAUAUUUUUCAGAUCAGUCACUAUGAGUAGCCGUCCAAGCCGAACCCUAUAUGUUGGCAAUUUGCCAGGAGAUAUAAAAGAAUGGGAAGUUGAAGAUUUGUUUUAUAAGUAUGGCCCAAUUGUUGACAUUGAUCUGAAGGUUCCUCCUAGACCUCCUGGCUAUUGUUUCAUCGAGUUUGAAGAUGCUAGGGAUGCAGAAGAUGCUAUUCGUGGUCGUGAUGGUUAUAAUUUUGAUGGUCAUCGCAUAAGGGUAGAACUUGCCCACGGAGGUCGAAGGAUGGCUUCCUCUGUACGAUCUAGUAGCUACAAUAAUGCUGGCAGUGGACGUGGCGGACGAGGGGGUGGGGUUUCCAGACGUACUGACUACCGAGUUCUUGUCUCUGGGUUACCUUCAUCAGCAUCUUGGCAGGACCUGAAGGACCACAUGCGACAAGCUGGUGAUGUUUGCUAUGCAGAAGUAUUCCGUGACAGCAACGGUACAUGUGGAACUGUGGACUACACCAACGUAGAUGACAUGAAAUAUGCUGUCAGAAAACUUGACGAUUCUGAGUUCAAGAAUGCAUUCUCUCGGUCUUAUAUCCAGGUAAGGGAACAUGGAACUAAAAAGAGUGUAUCUAGGAGCCGCAGCCGCAGCCGCAGUAAUAAUCGCAGCCCAAGUCGUAGCCGCAGUGUUGGCAGGAGUAAUAGGAAAGCUUCAAGGCGGUCACCAUCUCGUUCAAGAUCAAGAUCACCAUCACGAUCAAGGACACGUUCACCAUCUGUAUCGAGGAAAGUUGCAAGGCGGUCACCAUCUCGGUCAAUAUCAAGAUCACCAUUGCGAUCAAGGCCGCACUCACCUUCCAUAUCUAGGAAAAUUGCAAGACGGUCAUCAUCUCAGUCAAGAUCAAGAUCUCCAUCACGAUCAAGGCUACAUUCGCCUUCCAUAUCUGGAAGUGGAGCAAGCUUUACACCAAAAUUCAGGACUUUCUCUAGCGGGCUUAACUCAAAUUUAAGGGAUUGGGUGAUUGACAUUGAUUACCAUAUUCUUUUCAAGUUGCUUAUAGCCGUUAGAUACAAUUAUUAUACUUUUCUUUAAUCAAUUGAUCUUCAUGUCUUCAUGUAGAUUGUCUAAUUUAGCUUAUGUCCAUGAUGUUGGCAAUAUGAACUGGAUCAAGUUGUGUGGGCCAUUACAUCUGAAGGAAAAGGUUUCUAUGAUUCAUUCCGAGGCUACCAUUCUAUAGUUUCAGUCAGUUUCAGCAACCAUUGGCUGAGGACACUUUGUUCAAUGACAAUAUUUUGCACCAAUUGCAACUAGCAAAUUAUUCUUUGUUGGCUUCAAAGAUACUUUUCCAACAAUGGCCAACUGGUCCUCUGAGUAGCUUUUGUGGAUGUUUCCGAAUCGCAUAUAAAAAUUUGGGUCUCUUUCUUUGAGAAGGGAGUAAAUGAUGAUAUACCAUGCACAAUUUUCCACUUCAGUCAGAAGUAGGAUUAGUUAGCAGCAAGGCUGGUGUAUUAAUUCAAGUGCAGAGAUGAUAAAGGUGGCGGAAGGUCAUUAAAAGAUCUAAGUCAAGGUCACUGAGCCCACGCUGUCUGCCGCCUGUUCCUAAACGUCCAAGUAGAAGUGCUAGCAAGAGUCGCAGCCCAUCUCGUUCAUAGUUAUCUGCACCCCCAGCAUGUGUUAAGAAACUGCGGUGUGAUAAUCUUUCUGUGAAUUCAAUCCUGAUUUGCUUUGGAGAUCACACAGGAGUUGAUCAGGAAAUCUGUAAUAAAACAUUGUGUGUUUACUGAGGUGAUUCAUUCUAAAUUCUGGAGGGAAUAACACGUGUAAAUUUUGAAUUAGGAAAACUAAUUUACUGAGGUGAUUCAUUUUAAAUUCUGGAGGGAAUAACACAUGUAAAUCUUGAACUAGGAAAACUAUUUUUUUUCAGGAAAAACAAUACUUUUGAAUGCCAUAUAGCAAGCAGUGAGACAUGCUAGUAUUUUUUCUAAUUGUGAUUUAUAGGCACAUUUUCAAAAGGAUAUUGGUGCAGUUAUUUUGUAAGGUGCCUCUUUUUUAAUUGUAUGACGUUGCAUAAGUUUUGCCA